UUCCCUCUGUCACCUUGUGAGUACAUAGGGCAUGUUUUUGGUUUUAAACAGAGGGGUUUUGUUGUUGUUGUUGUUUUGGUUUGGUUUGGGUUUAGCAUCUUAUUUUGUAAUAAUUUCACACUAGCGCAGAGUAUUUAAGUAGUUCGGAUUUUCUGUAUGUUCUUCAUCAGGGUUCCCCAAAUAGCGACAUCUGGCCCCAUUUACUUGCUCAUAUUUUCGUUCUCUUCUCUGUCUACUUGGGUCUGCUAGACAGACCGUGUGAUUCUUUUCUAAAAACUAAGAACAUUCUUACAUAACUAGAGUUCAAUGAUCAAAACCAAGAAAUUAACAGUAGCCCACAUUACUACCUAACUUACAGACCUCACUUGGACUGAGCUGCACACCCCGCCAGGACGUUUACUCCUGUUUCCUGAGAGUUUUCUACAACCCGGAAAGCCCCCAAGGGGCUCCAGCUGUUCAGUAGAACAUGCACAAGACCUGGUUCGGGACGGGAGUAUCACUGAAGAAAUGCUGAGACUCCCCUUGGGUCACCAGGUCUGGAAGGCCAGGAUGCUGUUCUGUGCCCCACUCCUUGGGAGGUCUCCUGGGACCAUGCACUCCGCUGCCCUCAGCUUCCCUCACGCAUGGUAUUAUUUUUCCCUGCUCUUCAAGCUGCCUCUUCCAUUCUUGUAAUGUGCCACCUUCAUUCUUCAAAAUAGCCUUUUUUUUUUUUUUUCUGUUUACAGUUUGGUGCCUCGGGUAUAUUUUUCUAUAGCAAUAGCAAGCUAGCACAUUUAUUCUUGUUAAAAUAUGUGCUGUGGCAUGGCUCGGCAAUCAGAACUGAAAUCAUGGUCGUAUUUAUAUUGCAAAGCUAAAUGAAAAAGGAAACACUGUCGCUUCCUUUUUCUUCAGGUAUUUACGAUAUCCCUGCCACCGAUCUGGUUCCUUUCCAGGGCUCGGUGGAGACACCGGGGACGGUGUGAACAGAAACACUUGCAGGGAACAAAGGCGGAGGAAUAACCUGCUCACAUAAAUGAAUCCAAGAUGCCAGGACACUAUACAAAUCGUUAAGGACUGCUGCUUUGCUUCAGCACAGACAGUCUGCGGAUGAAAUUACAAGAAGGAAACUACUUUGAGGUAAGGUGAAAGAUAAACAACUAGUCAUUUGCAUGUUGUUCUCUAGAGAACCCGAAGACAUGUAAUUAUUAACCUUUCCAGACGAGUUCAACAUCUGUGUUCUCUUUCCUAGAAAUGUGAAGACUUGGCACCCAUGGCCAGGGGAGGAUGUUUACCACAGUCCCUCUGCCGAAGGCACUCAAAACACCCUUGCUUGCUUCCCUCCGGGGAUUCUUUAUCAUUUGUACAUUUGUUAUGACUCCGCUCAGGCUCGUUAUGGGAGUGAGGUGAACAUCUGGGGGACUACAAAGACAUGGGGCAAGGAGGAGGCAGGUGCCAUGCUGGGCACAAGGAAGCCUCACGGCACAGGCACAGAUGCGAAGAGGGGCGGUUCUUAGCUCAGCACUGAAGUUUUAUACUUAGUUCCAUGUCUCCCACAAGAGUGAGGAGACUAAAAUUUAAUGUUCCGUGAUGGCGGUGAACGCUUCCUCAUGGUAUAGGAUACCCUCAGCCAAGACAAAAGGCAAGACGAUGAGCCAAGCCAUCUUAGAAGGUAUGCUAGCUUGCUUUCUGAGGCUGAGAUAAAACACUGACCAAAAGCAACUUGGUGGGUAAAGGGCUCUUUGACUUAUAGCUUCCAGGUCCUAGCCCAGCACUAUGGGAAGUUACAGCAAGAGCUCAGUGUAGGGUUAUGGAGGAAGACAGCUAGCUCACUCAGCAGCUUUCCUUAUACAGCUAGGACCUGUGUGCCUCAGGAUAGAGCUGCCCAGCCCAGGGCCGGGCCCUUCUGCAUCAAUCAUCAGUCAGGACAAUCUCUUACAGACAUGGCCACAGGCCAAUCUGAUCUGGGCAAUCUCUGAAUUGAGCCUCCCUUCAGAUGACUCUGGGCUGUGUCAAGUUGACAGCUGAAGCUAACUAGGACAGAAGCUAAUCAGCCAAGCACAUGGUCGGCUCCAGGUCACGACUCCCUGCUGCGAUUGCAUCAUUUGUUCAGAGGCGAACAGAGACAUGAAGGUACCGUCACGUCGUCCAAGCAGCAGGGAUUAUGCUCUGGCUCCAGAGCUGUAAUGCUCGGGCUCUGAGCACUUAGCAACAUCACCAAUCAAGUGUGACAGUUGGGGGCAGCCCUCACUUUUAUCUUGGGCAAUUUAGUGCCAUAUCCAAAGUAGGCUCAGUGGGGACUGUUUUUACGUGAGUCUUUUAAAAAUAUGGAAUAUCUAAUAAAUAUUUAAAACAUGUAAA